rnacentral:tRNA from 1 species
UCCCUGUGGCUCAGACGGUAAAGCAUCUGUCUACAAUGCAGGAGACCCAGGUUCGAACCCUGGGUUGGGAA